GAUCAGGGUUGGUUCGUAUUAGGAUACCAAACGAUGGAGGUUUAAACCGAUCCAUGAUUUAAAGACCUAAAUGUUAAUAAAUAUCGGAUUAGGAGUGAUUCGUACUUAAUCCAAAGAUAAAAUACCGUUAUGGGUCUGUUGAGAAAAUAAAACGCACUGGACUGUCACCAAACUUUUCUACACGUCCCUGUUUGUUCGUUCGUCGGAUUCCAAAGCUUUUCUCAUUUUUAAUAUACGACUAAUUAUAUUCUUCUUCCAUUUUCAUUUCUUCACGAGAUUAGAUCUCUGGCUCGCCAGUAUUUUUUCGUUGGGUUCCCUUUCUCACACACCUUUUCACUCUCUCCGUCUCUUCUUAUUUCCUCUCUGUAGACCAUUGUCUCCUCCUCGUUCUUCCUUUUCCCAUCCGAUUGAUUGAGCUGCCGCGGGGUCUUUCGCUGCUUUAGAUAGAUCUCGCAGCGAUUCGAAUCCCUCCCACCGGUGUCUGUUGACACUUCCCCGUCGACGGUUUCACGACCCUUCGCAGAUCUGGUCCUCCGCUUCUGAGUCGUCGAUCACUUCCGUCAUCAUGGCGGCCGCUAGCGCUCCGAUCACCAUGAAGGAAGUGCUGACGGUAUGUAGCUGCUCAGCUCCUUGAUUUGAAUCCGUCGUGCUCAAUUUUGUUGCCCAAUUUUGGAUCUCAGAUUAUUGCUAUGCAUGGUUUUCUCGUGAUUUCUCACCGUUUGGAAUUUAGUGAUUCCCCUAGGCAAUGUCGAUCUGGUCAUGCGUUUACAUGUUUAGAUCUGCUGAUUUCAUGUCUCCAGACCGUUGCCUUUGGUUUUUUGUUGUUUUCGCGAAUCCGAAUAUUCUUAGGAUUUGCUGAUUUGAUAAUUGGGUGAUGAGUUUGGGACGUGAUCCGUUUGUUUGUGCAGCUACCUAGUAUUGGGAUCAGUCCGCAGUUCAUCACCUUUACGAAUGUCACCAUGGAGUCGGAAAAGUACAUAUGUGUGCGAGAAACUGCGCCACAAAACAGUGUCGUUAUUGUCGAUAUGAAUAUGCCACUGCAGCCAUUGAGGCGGCCGAUCACGGCAGACUCUGCUCUUAUGAAUCCUAAUUCUAGGAUUCUCGCUUUGAAAGGUAGGGAUCCGGUGCCAGAAUACAUUUUUAAGCUUCUGGAUGAUCAUUGUCAGUGCUAUGUGCAGCUCCCUUUGAAAUUUUAAUAUGAUGCGCAAUUGUCUUAGGCAAUUGAUCUGUACUCUUUGUGAUUAUCUCGAAUGAGAAGUUUUCUCUGGAAGAACGUUUACUGCUUUUAAAAUUCCUAAUAUGUCUUGGAAUUGAAUCCUGCUCAGCAGUGAAGGAAAUUUGGUGUGUAAUCCUCUAGUCAGGAACGGGUCUGAGCUUUAGUAGAGUGGGAAAAGUAUUUUAUAUUUAUAUGAAUCAUGUGAGCUAUGCUUAUGGCUCUCUUUUCUCGAAGCUCAACUCCCGGGCACGACUCAGGAUCACUUGCAAAUAUUUAAUAUUGAGAUGAAGACAAAAGUGAAAUCGUACCAGAUGCCUGAGCAGGUAAAUGUUUAUUUCGGCUCAUAUAUGUAAUUCGAUACUUCAUGGGUAUUUGGUUUAUCUUAAUGUCUGCUUUGUUUUACGAGUAGAUUGUGUUCUGGAAGUGGAUAACUCCCAAAAUGUUGGGGCUUGUCACACAGUCAUCUGUCUAUCAUUGGUCCAUUGAAGGUGUGAUUCUCCUUUCAUUUCCUUAUUUGCAUCUGUUAUUGUAUUGUGUUGUUGAACAUGCUAUAUCAUCAUAGUCAUUUUCAGAUUGCUGAUUUAUCUACUAUAACUUCAGGUGACUCGGAACCCGCUAAGAUGUUUGAGCGAACAGCUAAUUUGGUGAACAAUCAGAUAAUAAAUUACCGAUGUGACCCUUCAGAGAAGUGGUUAGUUUUGAUAGGGAUUGCUCCAGGGUCACCAGAGGUACUUGAUUAGUGAAUAUUGACUGUAUUUGUUAUUCUCGAGUAAAAACUUAGGGUUUAGGCGAGUAAGAAAAUAAGAAAUAGAGGUCUCUUGUAAGGUUUUAUUAAAAUUAGAGAUGGGGAAAUGAGAUGGAGUUUUGUUGAUAAGUUGUUAAUAAUGAGAUAUUUAGUGAUCUUUUAAGGGGUGGGAUUUUGCUAAUGGACUAUAAAGAUACAGAUGCUUGUUUCAACAAGGCGUGCUUGGAAUGUUAGAUUCUAUGAGUAAAAAACUUGGAUGAAACAAACACUGUUUGCUCUCUUGCUACCCUUCGACAUAACUUAUUUCAGUGACUCCAUUUCUAUGCAUGAUCCUGAUAAUGAUCAUUCUUGUUGAAUGUUUGUGCAGUUCUUUCAUCUGAAGGAUUGUUUCUAUACAACAAUAUUUCAGUAAUUGUUUCGUGCUAUUUGUUUGCAGAGGCAACAACUAGUGAAAGGAAACAUGCAGCUUUUCUCAGUGGAGCAACAGCGCAGCCAAGCCCUUGAAGCACAUGCAGCAGCAUUUGCCCAAUUCAAGGUGGGAACGGUUCAUGACUGGAACAGUUUUUUGGCCAUCAGUAGCACUGGCCAACCUUUCUUCCUGAAGGUUGCUUAUGAAUGUCUGCUAUUCUAUUACAGGUUCCUGGAAAUGAGAAUCCAUCUACUCUCAUUUCUUUUGCCACGAAGAGCUUCAAUGCUGGGCAGAUUACUUCGAAAUUGCACGUUAUUGAACUUGGUGCCCAACCAGGUCAAAUCUUCGAGUCCUCUCCAACUUCAUUCAUGGCUUCUACAAAUCCUCCUGAAAUCCUGGCGUUUGUUGGCAUUUGCUUUAUGAAAUUAGCGGAGAUUCACUGCUUUUAUGUGCUUUUUAUGUGCAGGGAAACCAUCAUUUACGAAAAAACAGGCAGAUCUUUUCUUCCCUCCAGAUUUUGCUGAUGACUUUCCUGUGGCGAUGCAGGUCGCCUAACUUCUACUCCCUUGGCCCCCAAUUUGUCUAGUUAUUCUUCUGCAUUUUGAUGACAUGUUUGUGACUGUGCUACUUUGCAGAUAUCCCACAAGUUCAGUUUGAUCUAUGUUAUCACCAAGCUAGGUUUGCUAUUUGUUUAUGACUUGGAGACAGCUGCUGCUGUCUACCGAAACAGGAUCAGUCCGGAUCCGAUAUUUUUGACAUCCGAGGCCUCUGCUGCUGGGGGGUUUUAUGCCAUUAAUAGACGAGGUCAAGUGCUGCUUGCUACUAUAAAUGAAGCAACGAUUAUAGCAUUUGUCAGUGGGCAUGUAAGUUCAUAUAAUCAUUUCCUUUCGUUGGCUGCUAAAGUUUAGUUUUGUGUUUGAAUUUUCUGUAUAAACGGUGUUCUUGCAGUUGAAUAAUCUUGAGCUUGCUGUUAACCUUGCCAAAAGGGGUAACCUUCCCGGUGCAGAGAAUCUGGUAACUGAAGGUUUUCUGUACAAUCUGCUGGCAUUCAAUGUCUUUUUUCCUUUCAAUAAAAUUUACCAUUUUUCGAUGUUGGAAAUCUCAGGUUGUGCAGCGAUUCCAAGAACUUUUUGCUCAAACAAAGUACAAGGAAGCUGCCGAGCUUGCUGCAGAAUCCCCACAGGGUAUUCUCCGAACACCAGAUACAGUUGCCAAGUUUCAGGUUGGCAUUCAGCUUCUGGGUUUCCAGUUUUAUAUCCACCCUUCCAUUUUUUGAUGACCUGAAGCUCAAUAGUGGUCCUGCUUGACUGUAUCUUUUGUGAACUCCAGAGUGUUCCUGUACAAGCUGGACAAACUCCCCCACUGUUGCAGUACUUUGGAACUCUACUGACAAGAGGAAAGCUAAAUGCAUUUGAGUCAUUGGAACUGUCACGCCUUGUUGUAAAUCAAAACAAAAAGAACCUUUUGGAGAAUUGGUUGGCUGAAGAUAAGUUGGAAUGCAGUGAGGAGCUUGGUGACCUUGUUAAAGUAUGUUUUCCGCUGGGUGACUUAGAUUAUACCUUCUUUUAUGGCGGGAAUGGUAUGUUGACAUUUGUAUCUGUCUUGUAACUGUAGACCGUGGAUAAUGAUCUUGCACUCAAAAUUUAUAUUAAAGCUAGAGCAACACCAAAAGUUGUUGCAGCUUUUGCCGAGAGGAGGGAAUUCGAUAAAAUUCUGAUUUACUCAAAGCAGGUAAAGUGCAUAUAAUCACUCUUUCUUCAUAAAAUUCACUGUUAUCGGUGCUAGGAUUCAUAUAUAUGAGGGAUGUGUGGCUUUUAUUAACUUUUUAUUUGCUUUAGGUUGGGUACACUCCUGACUAUUUAUUCCUUCUCCAAACGAUUCUCCGUACAGAUCCUCAGGUACUAUUUUUCUGUUAACUGGAUUAUGGAAGUAGUAUAAUUAUUGUUGAAAUCUGGGAUUGUUCGUUUGUGAACUACUGCAGAUACGGAUUCAUGUACUGUUCUCUUUUUUGUGGCAUAAUAGAGUUUAUAUCUCCUUUUGAUUUGUAGGGAGCUGUUAACUUUGCUCUGAUGAUGUCCCAAAUGGAGGGGGGCUGCCCACUCGACUACAAUACUAUUACUGAUCUCUUCCUUCAGGUUUGGUUUUCUUAUUGAUGAAACCUCUAACUAUUUUUUGUUUGGGAGAUGCCCUUUCUGUAAUAUUGCAAUCCUGGCUUUAUUUCUAUACUAAUGUCUGUGAGAAUGGUCUUUCAUUUGAUAGAGAAACCUGAUUCGUGAGGCCACUGCCUUUUUGCUGGAUGUCUUGAAGCCAAAUUUGCCAGAACAUGCUUUCCUGCAAACAAAGGUUACAUAGUUGACCGUUCAAAGUAUGUUCCAUCUCUUUCCCCAUGUCUGGGUUACUGAUGCUUUUGUUUUUGCAGGUCUUGGAAAUCAAUCUGGUAACAUUUCCUAAUGUUGCUGAUGCUAUAUUGGCUAAUGGAAUGUUCAGCCACUAUGACCGGCCUCGUAUUGGACAGCUUUGUGAAAAAGCUGGUCUUUACAUUCGAGCUUUGCAAGUGAGAUAUCCUACCCAUCUUUUAGUUUUCUGUUUGACUUAUUAUUGCAGUUUCUAGAAGUAAAUGUUAAUUUUCUGUGCAGCAUUAUGCUGAGUUGCCAGAUAUCAAACGUGUCAUUGUGAAUACACACGCAAUAGAGCCACAGGUAAAUUUCAAUAGUGCUUCUGUUUCUACUAAUACUUUUAGAAUUAAAGUUUCUGAUGUUUAAGUUUAUGUUCUGUUCAGGCACUCGUGGAGUUCUUUGGUACUCUUUCUAAAGAGUGGGCCCUAGAGUGCAUGAAGGAUCUGUUACUUGUCAAUCUGAGGGGAAAUCUUCAGAUAAUUGUGCAGGUAACUGUUCUAUAAUGCCUGAUUUCCUCCAACCAAAACUGGUUAUUGGUUCUUUUGAUUGUAAGGCUAAAUUAUGUGCAGACAGCGAAGGAGUACUGUGAGCAGCUUGGUGUUGAUCAGUGCAUCAAACUGUUUGAACAGUUCAAAUCUUAUGAGGGGCUCUAUUUCUUCCUGGGGUCAUAUUUGAGUUCUAGGUAUCGUACUUUGUAGUUGAUUAGCUUUUUUAUUCUCCAGUUACAAGUUGUCCGUGCACUUUAAUCCCUGCGUUUUAACUUUUCUUGAUGAGCAGUGAAGAUCCGGAAAUUCAUUUCAAGUACAUUGAAGCGGCUGCUAAAACUGGACAAAUAAAGGAGGUGGAACGUGUCACUAGAGAAUCAAAUUUCUAUGAUGCUGAAAAGACGAAGAAUUUUCUUAUGGAGGCCAAGCUUCCUGAUGCAAGGCCACUGAUUAAUGUUUGUGACCGCUUUGGUUUUGUUGGGGAUCUAACCCAUUAUCUGUACACAAACAACAUGCUCCGGUAUAUUGAAGGUUAUGUUCAGAAGGUAUGAUACUAGUGUCAGUUCAGUGCUUGUCGAAAUCUGAUGUUGUUCUUCAGAACAGUAGGCUGAUUUUACCCCCCUUCUCUUUGUAGGUGAACCCAGGAAAUGCUCCGUUGGUUGUUGGGCAGCUGUUGGAUGAUGAAUGCCCUGAAGAUUUCAUCAAAGGGCUUAUUCUCUCUGUCCGUUCUUUGCUUCCAGUCGAGCCCCUAGUGGAUGAAUGCGAGAAGAGGUAGGUUCCGUUGAAGAAACCCACCCCCUUAACCCAACCAUCCAUUUUCUGAUAUUAAUAUGCUGCUGCUCUCUGUAGAAAUCGGCUACGUCUGCUCACUCAGUUCCUGGAGCACCUUGUGAGUGAAGGAAGCCAAGAUGUGCAUGUUCACAAUGCACUGGGUAAGAUCAUCAUUGAUAGCAAUAACAAUCCGGAGCACUUCCUCACUACCAACCCUUACUAUGAUUCAAAGAUUGUUGGUAAGUAUUGUGAGAAACGUGAUCCGACCUUGGCUGUUGUGGCUUAUCGAAGAGGGCAGUGUGAUGAUGAACUUAUCAAUGUCACAAACAAGAACUCCCUGUUCAAAUUGCAGGCCAGGUAUGUGAUGUGGUCUCUGCUUUCUUUGCUAUUAGAAGCCUUCUUUCUUGAUUUUAGGAAAUGUUAGAUGCUCCGAAAUUUACUUUUAUUUGCUUGGCCUGGAAUACAGAUAUGUUGUUGAACGGAUGGAUGGUGAUCUUUGGGAGAAGGUCCUUGAUCCUGAAAAUGAGUAUAGGCGGCAGCUAAUUGACCAAGUUGUUUCUACUGCUCUACCCGAAAGCAAGAGCCCGGAACAGGUUUCUGCUGCAGUCAAGGCCUUCAUGACUGCUGACCUUCCACAUGAAUUAAUUGAACUUCUAGAAAAGAUUGUGCUGCAGAAUUCUGCAUUUAGUGGAAACUUCAAUCUUCAAAACCUGCUUAUCUUGACAGCAAUUAAGGCAGACCCCUCUAGGGUUAUGGAUUACAUCAACAGAUUGGAUAACUUCGAUGGUCCUGCUGUUGGGGAAGUUGCAGUUGAAGCCCAGCUCUAUGAAGAAGCAUUUGCAAUAUUCAAGAAGUUCAACUUGAAUGUUCAGGCUGUAAAUGUUCUCUUGGAUAACAUCAGAAGUAUUGACCGGGCUGUGGAGUUUGCAUUCCGUGUUGAAGAAGAUGCUGUAUGGAGCCAAGUUGCCAAGGCUCAGCUUAGAGAGGGUUUGGUCAGUGAUGCAAUUGAAUCCUUUAUUCGCGCAGAUGAUGCUACUCAAUUUCAUGAGGUCAUUCUUGCAGCCGAGGGGGCUAAUGUCUAUCAUGAUUUGGUGAAAUACCUUUUGAUGGUUAGACAAAAAUCAAAAGAGCCCAAGGUGGACAGUGAGCUCAUUUUUGCGUAUGCCAAGAUUGACCGGCUAGGAGAAAUAGAGGAGUUCAUUCUUAUGCCAAAUGUGGCUAAUCUCCAACUUGUUGGUGACCGCCUAUUUGAUGAUGCUUUAUAUGAGGCAGCAAAAAUUAUAUUUGCCUUCAUAUCUAACUGGGCAAAGUUAGCUUGCACUCUUGUGAAGCUCAAACAGUUCCAAGGUGCUGUUGAUGCAGCAAGGAAGGCCAACAGUGCAAAAACAUGGAAAGAAGUGUGCUUUGCUUGUGUUGAUGCUGAAGAGUUCCGAUUGGCUCAGAUGUGUGGUCUGAAUAUCAUUGUCCAGGUAAUUUUCGAAGUCCUCUAUUUUAAAAUUUCUGGCUCUUAUAGAUCAGAGUUGCAUAAAUUGUUGAUUGUACAAAGUUCUGAGGUUUGCCGGUUUAUGAUUACUUUCAGGUGGAUGAUCUGGAAGAGGUCAGUGAAUUUUAUCAGAACAGAGGAUACUUCAAUGAACUAAUUUCCCUGAUGGAGAGUGGUUUGGGUUUGGAACGUGCACAUAUGGGUAUUUUCACCGAGUUGGGGGUUCUUUAUGCUAGACACCGUUACAUGGAGCACAUAAAAUUAUUCUCAAACUUAUCCGAGCAUGUGGUGAGCAGCAGCCUUGGAAAGAACUUACCUAUCUCUUCUUUCGAUAUGACAAGUUCGAUAACGCUGCAAGAACAUCCUGAUCUCAUCAAUGAUGUCUUGAAUGUGCUGGCGCUACGGGUUGACCAUACUCGUGUUGUUGACAUUAUGCGGAAGGUUUGUUACUCUACUUCGUGGAUUUCCCUUUUUGUUUAUGACUCUGCUUCAGUUGUACUGAAAGUUGUUUUUUUCGGUUUUCAGGCUGGCCACUUGCUUCUUGUGAAGCCAUAUAUGGUUGCAGUUCAGAGCAACAAUGUGUCUGCUGUGAAUGAGGCUCUCAAUCAGAUAUACGUCGAGGAGGAGGACUAUGACAGGUUACGGGAAUCAAUCGAUUUGCACGACAACUUCGACCAGAUUGGUCUUGCCCAGAAGGUGAGUUUGGUCUUUGACCUACUCAAUCAAUUGUCUAAUUCUUUCUUAGUUAUGAGGUUGUAACCGGCUUGCUGUACAAUGAUUAUCACCAGAUUGAGAAGCAUGAGCUUCUUGAGAUGAGACGAGUUGCUGCAUAUAUUUACAAGAAGGCUGGCAGAUGGAAGCAGUCCAUUGCAUUGUCAAAGAAAGAUAAUCUAUACAAAGAUGCUAUGGAGACUGCAUCGCAAUCCGGCGACCGUGAACUUGCCGAGGAAUUGCUUGUUUAUUUUAUCGAAAAGGUAAGGCGCCUCGCUCCAUGAUGUUCAUUUAAGAUCUUGAAAUCAGAGCCCUAAAGUAAAUGUUUUGGUUGCUUGCAUUUAACUAAUAUAUCAUGGAUUUUUCUGCAGGGGAAGAAGGAAUGUUUUGCUUCUUGCCUCUUUGUGUGCUAUGAUUUGAUUAGGGCAGACAUUGCCCUUGAACUUGCUUGGAUGAACAACAUGCUUGACUUUGCCUUCCCAUUCCUGCUACAAGUAAGCUCUUCUCCUCUACUUGCUAUUAUUUAGUGCCGUGUUUAGAGUACUUAAGUAGCCUCUUCCUUGCAGUUCAUUCGCGAAUACACGGGCAAGGUUGACGAGCUUGUCAAGGAUAAACUUGAGGCUCAGAAGGAAGUCAAGGCUAAGGAACAGGAAGAAAAGGAUGUGAUUGCUCAGCAGGUAAAUACUAAAUACCCCCAUAUGUUCUCUGCACUUGUAGCCCUGUAUUUAAUGGUGCUUCGUUACACUAUUCAGUUAUCUUGGAUCACUUUUGCUUAUCCAAAAUCUGCAAGGCCAUGUUUGGUUUCUGUGUUUUCGGUUUGAGUUUUGGGUGAAUGCCCGGUUUCUGUAGAUUCCUGUCUUUUUGCAUAACUGUUUUCUGAAAUUGUGUAUUUGAGAUAAAAAUUUAAGCUCCAAAACACCUAAAUUUUCUUGUGAUGCUGACGAAUUUUGUUGAUUUGACAAUUUGCAGAACAUGUAUGCUCAGUUGCUUCCUCUUGCUUUGCCUGCACCUCCAAUGCCUGGUAUGGCUGGACCCGGGAUGCCAGGAGGCUACGGGCCUCCUCCGCCGAUGGGCGGAAUGGGAAUGCCUCCUAUGCCGCCGUUCGGGAUGCCUCCAAUGGGCAACUAUUGAUUGAUCUUUGACUGAGGCCACCACGCUUUUUGUAGAAAGUAGGCAGUAAACUCAUCUCUGCGGGCACGCGAAACAGAACGGAUCUUUUCGACAAGAGGCAGCAGCAGCAGCAGUCGGGAAUUUAACCAUUUGGUGGUGUGAUUAGGCGAAGGAGAUUUGUCAAGGGUUUGCAUUGGGUGAUGAACAGAGUGUAAUUUUGGAAUAAUUUGCCACUUUAUUUUUGUGAAGUGUCGUCAUAUAUUUCAUUAGAUUUUUGUGUGGAUAUGUGUUGUAAUAUUCUUUCCUGUUGAUAGGAGAAACACAAAGCUAGACAGACUAGACAAUGUUCUGGGGUUUGUAUUUUUCAUUCUUUAUUUUGCUGCUGUUUGUUUGUUUAGGAGUCGAUUCCUCGUAUACGAAUUUUCGGAGUGUUUUCGCUCCCUGCUACAAAAAAAGAACAGUUUUGAUUUUGUUAUCGAGUUUGGUUUAGUUCCAUAACUUGCAAUGCUGUGGUUUAUGUUCUUGUGCAUUCUCUCUUAAGGAUUCCAUGACCUUCACCUAAUGUAACGAAGGUGAACGAGGGAUGGAGACCCUUCAACCUCCCUAGCACGCCUUCCAAACGUUUUGCAGUGCAGUGUUCCAACCCAUGGUGAUUAGAGAUGAUGACGAUCCAUGCCUCGUUUACGGACAUCGAUCCUUGGUGGCCACUCCACCGUCAACCCGCAACCGGCCAUCUCUCAUCAACCAUCACAACGUCCUCAGUUCACUCACUCCGCCCCCAUGUGGAGAUACUACAUAGAUGCAGCGAUUUGUGCCUUGUUCCUCAUCUGUCAGUUAGGGAGCAGUUGGGCUGGUGUUUAAGAUUGAUUCAAGAUAAUUCUUUCGACGGUCCUACAGAGUUAGGCUGAUUCUCAUUGGAUGUCCAAGCAUCUCCUCCAUCGUACGAUUGAUCUACAUCAAGUUCGUUUCGCGACAGGAUAAUAGCGUCUUCUUAGUGAUAUGAAAGGCUCCACAUUAUCCUGCUACCGAAUAAUCUUUAGUUUUGUGUUACUAUAUUUUUAGUUGAUAAUUUCUAUCUUUUGUGUAUCAAGACUAAUACCUCCGACAAAAAAAUAAACGAGGGACUAAAUUAGUUAUCAAGAUUUUAUCGAUUUAUGAAUUUUUUAAAAUUUGUGUUAAGUAACUGAUUUACCACGAUACAAACCUUAUAGAAAUGCAUUAAGGUUUGUAUCUCGUAGUAAAUCAGUUAGAUAUCCAAGUCCCCUCCUUUGAUCUCCCCGCAGCUCAAAACAAUGGCGACCGUCACUCUUCUCGCUCUAUCUCUUCUCAUUUCCCUCAUCUUCUCCAUCUUCUCCUUCAUCGCCUUCCACAUUCUCACCUCCCGCCGGAACCGCCAAAAAUCCGUCGGUUUCUUCCAUCCUUACACAAACGACGGCGGCGGCGGAGAACGCGUCUUAUGGUGCGCAGUCAAAGCAAUCCAGGAAGAAAUCCCCGACCUCGAUUGCAUCGUCUACACUGGCGAUCACGACGCCUCUCCUCAGUCCCUCCUCGCCCGCGCCACCGACCGAUUCGGCGUCCAAUUGCUCCGUCCGCCGAAGGCGGUCCAUCUUCACCGGAGGAAAUGGGUGGAGGAGUCCACUUAUCCUCGAUUCACCAUGAUCGGACAGAGCCUCGGUUCGAUUCUACUGUCCUGGGAAGCUCUAUCGAAGUUCACUCCUCUGUAUUACUUCGAUACCAGCGGGUACGCUUUCACUUACCCGAUCGCUCGAUUGUUCGGAUGCAAAGUAGUUUGCUACACGCAUUACCCGACAAUCAGCUUGGAUAUGAUCUCCCGCGUUCGUCGUCGGAGCUCCAUGUAUAAUAAUGACAACUCAAUUGCUCGCAGGUUAGGAAAAAUUCUCAAACUUCUCAUUUUCUAAUUGUAGUUAGGAAUCCAAUCGCCUUAAGAACAAAGUGCUUGUGUUUUCCUUUCAGUGGUUGGCUAUCGCAGUGUAAGCUCGUGUAUUACACUUUCUUCAGCUGGAUGUAUGGAUUUGUAGGCUCUUGUGCACAUUUGGCCAUGGUGAACUCUUCCUGGACUCGAUCUCACAUUGAGAAGCUUUGGCGUAUUGCUGACCGGAUCAAGCGAGUCUAUCCUCCUUGUGAUACAUCAGGGCUACAGGUUUUUCAGCUGAAUAACUGUUCUUUGAUUAGUUUAGCUUCUUUUCUAUACGAUUCUGCUGUGUAUAUAGAUUAGCAUUGUUUUAUAUAAGCUCAAGUCUAAUGCUUUCAGAUGCUUCCUCUGGAAAGACCGGCGGGAACUCCAGUGUUCAUAUCAGUAGCUCAGUUCCGUCCUGAGAAGGUGGGGAAAAUUUGAGUGACAAUUGUGUGCAAAAGGUACUAGAGUUUUUCAUGGCUCGAUCGUUGGGGCCGGAUUGGAGUUUCGUUCUUAACCUUGAUUUGAGAUUGUUUUUUCAAUGUGUUCAGGCGCAUCCUCUGCAACUUGAAGCCUUCUCUCUUGCCCUUGCGAGGUUGGAUGCAGAGCUGCCAAGGCCAAAGCUCCAGUUUGUUGGUAGUUGCAGGAACAAAGCAGACGAGGAAAGACUGCAGAAAUUGAAGGAUAAAGCAAUUGAACUGAAGGUAGAUGGAGAUGUGGAAUUCCAUAAGAAUGUGAUGUACAGGUUAGUGCCAAUCACUGAAGCGAGGUGUGUAAAUUUGUUAUGUCCAAGGCUUAUCUGUUUAAAUAUCUGCUCUGUCAUACUGGACUUCAACUUUGACAUGAUACCAUCUUUGUGAAAUUUUAUCUUUGAUCUUGGCAGGAGGUGUAUUGGUUUAUUCUGCUGUUGUGCUAGUUAGAAUCAAGUCCUGCUCUUUACAAUUCAUGUUCUAAGUAGUUGUCUGUGGGAAAUUUUCAGGGACUUGAUAAAGCUACUGGGAGGCGCUGUUUCAGGAUUGCAUUCUAUGAUAGACGAGCACUUCGGCAUCAGUGUUGUUGAAUACAUGGCUGCAGGAGCCAUACCAAUAGGUAAACUCAUCUUUCUCAUUCAAUCCAUUUCUAUAUAUUGUGCCGGGAACAAUGCUGCAUACAAACUGAAAUGUGCAUUGUUAAAUAUCCUCCUCAGCUCAUAACUCAGCCGGUCCUAAAAUGGACAUCGUGCUAGAAGAAGACGGGGAGCCGACAGGGUUCCUUGCAGAGACAGUGGAAGAGUUUGCAGACGCCAUCCUCAGGGUCAUAAAGAUGUCGGAAUCCGAGAGGCUCAAGAUGGCUGCAGCCGCCAGGAGAAGGGCCGGCAAGUUUUCAGAACAAAGGUUUUACGAGGAUCUCAAGACGGCCAUUCGACCUGUACUAGUACGAAGCGGUUCCACCACCAAUACCAGAUAAAUUAGAAUACACGUUUCGGAACCCGAAUUUAAUUCAGGAGUUUUAAUUUGGUUUUGGGAGUUUCAAUAUGAGAAUUGGGAAUUUGGAAAUUCCCAAGUCCCGAAUACGUUUUGUAAACUAGCUUAUGUAACUUUUUACAGUUUCAUAUCGUAGGAUUUCGAACAUUCUGAACUAUCCAAUUCUUGAUCUUAAGAUUCCUUAACCAAACUUCGGGGCCUUAAUCUCGUAAAAAAUCGGAAAUUGAUGCUAAAUUCAAUACGAGGUCUGGGAAUACUCGAAUCCGGGCCAAACUUCCACUUCCAAUGCAUGCAUGACUCUAAGCCAAAAGCCUCUUGGCACAAGCUUGUUUCCAGGGGUGCACAUCAGGUGCCUAGCAAAUAGUUUCAUCACUUGAUUGGCUAUUAAGGGAAUCAAAAGUGAAUCAGACUGAUCCGAGACCUUGGACGGAAUUUUCAAUAGAAUUUUAUUGCUCCGGAUCAAUGGACCUUGGACGGUGGUCUGAGUUGGUCCAUACCUAGUUCCGUCAUUGAUUAUAGUGCUCCCCCGCCUUAGCAGCAGUGAGAGCCACAAAGUCACCCCAAUUAGUACAGAUGCUGCUGCUACUCUCUCUGCAAGUCCUCUGUUUGCGUGUACUACAGUAGCACUCACUAACUAAGGACAGUCCUUUCAACAUCUUCACCUUCAUCGCCUUCCACAUUCUCACCUCCCGACGGAACCGCCAAAAAGCCGUCGGUUUCUUCCACCCUUACACAAACAACGGCGGCGGCGGGGAACACAUCUUACGGUGCGCAGUCAAAGCCAUCCAGGAAGAAAUCCCCGAUCUCAAUUGUAUCGUCUACACCGACGAUCAUGAAGCAUCUCCUCAGUACCUCCUCGCCCGGGCCACCGACCGUUUCCGAGUCCAAUUGCUCCGUCUGCUGGAGGAGCUCGAUUCACCAUGAUCUGACAUAAAAGCAAGGCUAUAGCCCACAUAUUCAAAUUUUUAAACGUAUAAGGCCACUGUCAUUUAGGCGGAUCAAAAUGGCGCGUGGGCCUACGAUGGGCCUAAGAAAUACGGCCUGGUUCAACACUACUGAAUACUUCGUGGUCGGUCAAAAAUGGGCUUUUUCAGACGUCUUUGCGGAAGGGUCCAGCUCCAACCCAGAUUUGUAUGGAUCCGAAAUUUCAGCAGACCCGAACCGCUUUUGGCCCACGUUUUUUGGCUCAGCUCCGCAACGCUCCGCUCAAAAGGCCGAAGGCCUGAAAUCCCUAUGACCCGACCCGGCCAAAACCCGACGACCCGGUUCGUUUUACGCGUGUCGUACACGCGCCAGUAAAUGCGAGUGGUUGUCAUUUCCAAAAAUGAUAUUUCACGCGCGGUUGUAAUUCACGCGCACGCGCACGCGCCGACGUAUUGUGCACGCGCCUAUAUGCUCGUCUCCUCUUCUCCAGGAGUUUUGAAAGAUCAAAGAGAGAUCUCCCCGCAGCUCAAACGAUCACUCUCCUCAUUCUAUCUCUUCUUAGCUCUCAUCUUCUCCAUCUCUUCCUUCAUCGCCUUCCACGUACUCACCUCCGCUGGAACCGCCAAAAAGCCGUCGGUUUCUUCCACCCUUACACAAACGAAUCGCGGCGGCGGGGAACGCGUCUUAUGGUGCGUAGUCAAAGCCAUCCAGGAAGAAAUCCCUGACCUCGAUUGCAUUGUCUACACCUGCGAUCGCGACGCUUCUCCUUAGUCCCUCCUCGCCCGCGCCACCGACCGAUUCGGCGUCCAAUUGCUCCGUCCGCCAAUUGCGGUCCAUCUGCACCCAAGGAAAUGGGUGGAGGAGUCAACUUAUCCUCGAUUCACCAUGAUCGGACAUAAAAGCAAGGUUUAAAGCCCACUGAUGUAUUGAUUCUCAUUUAGUUUCUCUGCUGAUGUAUUGGAUUUCUAAUUCAUGUUCAAGGUAGUUGUCACAAACCCUCAUCCGUCUUCUGGGAAAUUUUCAGGGACUUGAUAAAGCUACUAGCAGCUGUUGCAGGACUGCAUUCUAUGAUAGACGAGCACUUCGGCAUCAGCGUUGUUGAAUACAUGGCUACCGGAGCCAUACCGAUUGGUAAAAUCCUCACUCUCACUCAAUCCCUUUCAAUCUGUUGUCGUUGGAAAAAUGCUGCAACAUACGAACUCAAAUUCGCACCGUAAAUUCUCCUCUUUCUCCUCAGCUCAUAACUCCGCCGGUCCCAGAAUGGACAUUGUAUUAAACAGAGAGAAGAAGGUUGGAAAUGGCGCAAGUAAAGCUUACUCUACAGCCAUGGAGGGAGCUUCUUAUUUAUACUAACAUCAACAUCAACGGUAAAAACCGAUUACACUUUUUAACCAACGAUAACUAAAACAGUAGAAAUAGAUAAGCGUAAACGCAGCAUUUCAAGACAACGCUUUACACAAUUCACUUAACGGACUAGUCUCUCCAUAACGCCGUCAGUGAAGUCUCCCUUCCUUACUCCGUUAACACUCGCAGCUGGUGCUGAGUGAUCAUUCUUCUGAUCAGCUGCUGCUGCUUCCUUCAGUUCAUCAUUCAUCUUCAAUACAUUGUGCUAGAAGAAGACGGGGAGCCGACAGGGUUCCUUGCAGAGACAGUGGAAGAGUUUGCAGACGCCAUCCUCAAGGUCGUAAAGAUGUCGGAAUCCGAGGGCUCAAGAUGGCUGCUGCCGCCAGGAGAAGGGCCGGCAAGUUUUCGGAACAAAGGUUUUACGAGGAUCUCAAAACCGCCAUUCGACCUGUACUAGUACGAAGCCAUUCUUCCACUAAUACCAGAUAAAUGGACGUAGUAGGAGUACUGAAUACCCUCCGUUGAAGUAGUUUAUCAAACUUGAAUUUCUGAACUAUCCCAGUUCUCGGUCUCCAAAUUCCCGAAAUUCGGGACCUUGAUCUUGACAUAAUCUCGUAAAUCCAUAUUUUCAAUACGGGGUUCGGGAAUACUCGAAUCCUAGCGAAACUUCCACCCCAGUGCAGCAACCUAAGCCAAAAGUGACUCCGAAUCCUAGCGAAACUUCCACUCCAGUGCAACAACCUAAGCCAAAAGUGACUUUUCCGUUACAGAGAACCCCCGAACGGACAUGCCAUUCCUCGGAUAGCCUGGCCUAGUUAAACUCUGAUGUUGCGCACCCCGCACAGGACGGUUGGACGCUCCUCAACAGUUUCAUCAUCACUUUGAUUGACUAAUACCUGCAAAAGAAGUAAAACUUUCAUCCGAAACCAAUUUACUCUCAAGGGCAUAAAAGUUUACUGCAACAAGAGUUUUCUACCCUCAUUAGAAACAAUCCUUCCAUCCAAAGAAGAAAAGUCUGGCUUUCUUGGCACCACACACACAAUCUACCAAUAGCCUUUGUACGUAAGUGAAUUGGGAGGAGAUGUUUGAUCGAACGUCGGAUUAAUUAAUUCUUGAAACCCCACCACCUCUUCUUCUUUAAAGUUCCUUUUCUUCAGGGUAUGAUUGUAGGUACCGGAACCAGACUGGUCUGGAAUCCUCGACGGAAUUUUGAAUUUAAAGGUCUAACUCAUGUAAAAACUCAACAUAAAUUUCGAUAUCGAGAAUUUUACAUAAAAUUUCAUCCGCGCUUCAGAUCAGUGAACUCUGGACGGUGAUCUAAAUUGUCCCACACCAGUUCCGUCGUUGCUUGUAGGCCUCCCCCCUCCCCCCCUUAGCAGUAGUGAGUGCCACAAAGUCACACCCAUUAGUACAAAUGCUGCUGCUACUCUCUCUGAAAGUCCUUUGCUUUCGUGUACUACAGUGGCACCCACUAACUAAGGACAGUCCUUUCAACAAACAAACGCAUAGGAUGUGGACGAAGACAAAAAGAAAACAAAUUGAAUGGCUGCAUUUGCUUUCAAAGAUAUCAUCUUUAGAUUACAGGAGCCGUAAUUCUGUCACAUCUCUUCAUAUGAGCUUGUGCUUGUGGGGUUCUUUCUUUCUAAUUGGCACACUCUCUUCUUGGAUAAGCAUCCAACUUGGUUGAAAGACUUGAAACAGUUUUGAGGGGAAUAGGCACGCUCUUAAAGGAAGGCCCCUAGAUAUAUAUCUGCAUGUAAUCAUUGACCAGAUCUUGAUUCACCCUUUUGAACCUCUACUGGAUUGUCAGUUGAUUCCAUAUGAACAUUGAGCAAAUGGUUAUGAUUUGACGUAGAGAUAAGUGUUCCAGUAGACCGGUGGGACCAAUAGAGCAUGGUGUGGCUGGAUGGCCGGUUGUGGAUGGAUGAGGAGAGAGCGUUCUCCCUUGAAUUAUGGACACCUAGGAGUCUUCAACGGACGAUUCCUCACAAAACGGAUGUGAGGGGGUGGGCGUACAAGAGACAGAGGAGUAUCGCGGGUGUUCGUCCUUUUUGGGGGUUGACCUGGUGUAGGCGUGUAGCAGGGUGUAGGCGUACAACUUAGUUGUAUUGUUGGACUAAGUGGAACUUAGAUGUUAUAAAUGUUGUGGUUGAUGAGCUUUUUAUACGGCCUUAGUCGCAUGACAAUGAUGACUAAGUGCGGGCCAAAUUUGGGCUUUUGUGGAUGGAUGGUCAGGGGGCAGGGAUCGACCAGGCCUGUGUAGAAUGGGCAGACGAAGCACUCUUGUGGUGGUGUUCACAUGUCCCUUGAUCAUAGCUAGGCUGACCUGCCCUAUCACAGUGAUAUUCCACAAUUCAAUCUUUCGGUUUUUUCUGUUGGGUUGGACCGGUCAGGUUGACCGGUUGAUUCGGCAAUCCGACCCAUAGGGCCAUCACUAAGCUCCCAUGCAGCAGCUAACCAUCAUAUCUCAGUGCAUCAGAACUGCUAGUAAUGCAUUCAACUGUGUCUUUUUCUUGACUGUACAAAUGUACAUACAGUAAUCACCAAAGUAGUUAAUGCUGCAGAUCCCCAAAAAUCCCUCGAAAUCCAUAGCCAAGAUUUAUCUGUCUCCUGAAAAAAACAGUCAAAAUGUUCUUCAGUUCAAGUGAGUGUGAAGUGACAGAUGAGUAACUCCAAAUCAUGAUUUCAAAAUUUGAUCCAAUUGGACACUACCCCCUCCCAAAGAAAGAUAUCAAAUCAAACACAUGACAAUCAGAUAACAACACACCAUCAUCACCAUUAUUCUUAGUCACAUAUAACUACCGUUCCCUAUUCUGGAAAUUGUCAAAUAAAUAGACUGUCUUUCUGCUGCUACAUUUUUCCAUCUCUCUUCUUGACCAUAUACACUUCAGUAAAGAAGAAACAGAAAGAAAAUAAGAUAUGGACUUUACUGACAAUGGAGAUGAAUCAUCAUUCCCCUUUUCAUGGUCCAACUGCAGUUUCUUCCCGGUCCAUGAAUCUGCAGAGGAUAAAGCAGCUUCAAGCUCCAGAAGCCAUAGCCAAGCUGAGAAGCGCAGGCGAGACAGAAUCAACGCACAGCUCAGCACCCUAAGGAAACUAAUUCCCAAAUCUGACAAGGUAACAGAUACCAUUUCUCCCCCAGUUUCUUACGAUUCCUCAAGUUGAUUCGAUUCCUCUUCUGGGUUUUACUAGAUGGACAAGGCGGCUCUGCUGGGAAGCGUGAUCGAACAGGUGAGGGAUCUGAAGAGCAAAGCUAACGAAGUGAAGAAGCAAUUCGCUGUGCCAUCAGAAAUCGACGAGAUCAACGUAGAUUUCUGCGACGUAGGAGGAGGAGAGGAAAACAAUAACGUGUUCUUCGUCAGAGCUAGUUUGACGUGUGAGGAUCGGCCGGAGUUAUUAUCGGAGCUGAUCCGGAUGGUGAAAGGUCAGCGGUUGGAGAUUGUACAAGCAGACAUUACCAGCGUAGGCGGGAGAGUGAGAAGCGUCUUCGUGUUUUGUAACAACGGCGGUGGCGGAGGAGGAGCAGGGGGAAGUGUGGGAGACGGCGAUAAGAGAUCGGUUGUUAGCGGGAUCAAACAGUCGCUUAACAUAGUUCUGAGUAGAAUAGCGUCGGCUACUGUGCCUUCCAGUUAUCGUAUUAGGAGCAAGCGGCAGCGGUUCUUUAUGCCGUCGAAUUGAUCGUGGCCGGCGACGACGAAUCUCAGCUCCGUCAAGCUUGGAUGAACGGAUCCUUUUAAUAUUUUUUUAUGGCGUUUUUGUAAAAUGUUGGUUUUGAUUGGGUAAAAAACAAUGAAUGCAAUUAGCCAAACUAAACAAACAAAGGUACAAAACAAAUGGACUCAAAAGAGUCCAAGUAGACAUCUCAUGGGUCAUGACGGUCCACAGGCUCUGGAUUAGGCCCAAGAUUAAGCCCAUCUUGCGCUUUCAAUCUAUCGAUGUAACUCCCAACUUCGUCUGCGACCAUCCUUUGCAUGAUCUCCAACAAACAACUCUCCUCCUCCUCCGCCGCCGCCGCCGCCGCCGCCUUCAACCACUUUUCCUUCUCCCCGCUUUCCUCCGCCGCCACAUCUUCCUCAGCUCCCGGCGGACACAGCGUCAACGACGUAGUAAUAAUCUCCCCCUCACUUCCAUUACCAAUAUCAUCAUCAACAAGACGUAAGCAGAGCUUCUUGUUACUACCCGAUUCGCCCUCCGAAUCAGCAAGAUUCGAGUCGGAAGGCACCGCAAAAUCCAGAUUCUUCCCCGCCGCGCGCUUGCGGCGGAGCGUGGAGUUCCAGUGGUUUUUAAUCGCGUUGUCGGUCCGCCCGGGGAGGAGGCGGGAGAUGGUGGCCCACUUGUUUCCGUGGAGGGAGUGAGCACGGACGAUGACGGCGUCCUCGGCCGGAGUAAAAGGGCGGUGCUGGACGUCGGGCGAGAGCUGAUUGCACCACCGAAGCCUGCAGGACUUGCCGGAGCGGCCGGGGAUUCCGGAGCUGAUCAUGGACCAGUUCCUCGGGCCGUGCUGCUGGACGAGCUUGAUGAGUGCUACGUCCUCCUGUGGGCUCCACGAGCCUUUGAUCCGAUCGGCGGUGGAAGAAGACGGCGGUUCCAUAGAUGUUUGAUUUGGAAAUCCGAAUAGAAUAAAUGAAGAAGAAGGGAUAAUAUAAGAGAAUAACGGUUAAGGGGGGAAUAAUUUGUUGUUACUGUUCUUGUUGUUGUGUUGUUAGUGUGGAACCGUAAAACCGCCGCUACACGGCGAUGGCGAUAAUUUUAACGACUUUGGCUCGUUACAGGGGGGGGGGGGGGGGGGGGGUUUUUUUUAUACUUUUUUUUUGGGGUGUGAUGUUAACACAUAGUGUGUAAAUGUAACCGACUGAAACGGAAAGGAUGGUGAUGAAUGAAUAACAACUGAAACUCAUGAUGAACAAGUUAGGUAUUGUAUACGGAUUUGAUUGCUGAUUCGGAAUAGUUCAAGAUAUAUUGAGUUGGAUUGUAUGGAAUUUGAAAAGAUACGAUAUAUGAAGAAUAUAUUCAUUAAUCUUACACCAGUUCAUGUUAGGAGUGUUGGUGUUGGGAUGGUGAUUCACUGAUUUGUAACAACAUUGGUGAGGGGCUGCAAUUUGUCAUGCAACACCUACAUAGUCGUCGUAACUUGAGGGAAGUGGAAGCGUUGGCGUUACGGUUGGCUAUGAAGAGUGAUGCUUUGAGAUUGAUAAACAAGUUGUGGCUUUGGUUGCAAACAACAACGUUAGGGAUAUCUCGAAUUUUGGACGCCUCAUUGUAGGGUGUUGGAGCAUCAUUAAGUAAAUAUUACUUUUCACUGUGUCAUCGGUUACGAAAUAUAUGAUCCGGGUGGAAAACGGAGGCGUUGGCGUUACGGUCGACUAUGAAGAGUGUUGCCUUAAGAUUGAUAACCAAGUUGUGGCUUUGGCAGCAAAUGGUGAUGGGCAACAAAGGGUCUUGGAACAUCAUUAAGGACAUAUAAUUUUUCACGAUGUUAUAAGUUAGGAGAUAUAGGAAUGGGGUUGCGAUCGAAUUUGUUCAUUACUACCACCGCUUUGUGUCUACUUUUAUGGUAUGUUUACCGCCUUUGUGUCUAGUAUGUGAUUGAUCCUACUAUACACUUCAAUAAGGUAUGUUUACGAGUCGAGCUGAGUCAAACUUCACCAUGUUCAAGCUUUGUAGUCGAGUUAGAGAUUUAGAAAAUUUCAGCUCGUGUCGAGCUCGGGCCUAUUAGAGCCUGACUUUUGAGCUAACAUUUACGUGCCGAACUCAAACUCAACGCGAACUUCACUCAUUAAAACCCACAAUGAGAGUCUGGUCUAAUGGGCCUGAUGGAUACGGGCCUACUAGCCCAACACUCCUCAUCAUAUCUUCAGCCCACAGUUCAGCAAACUAGGGUUACACUUCGCACCACUAUAUAAAUACAGCCAGCCUAAACUCUUCAUUCCUCUCCGUCAGCUCCUCCCAACACAAGUUUUAUCCAGCUUCACACAGAGCAAAGAGUAAACCAGAGGAAAAGCUUGCGAACUUAAUCACCAUGAGGGCCAAGGUAAGCUUCCGAUCUUCAAUCCAUCUUUCAUUUCGUCGAUCUCGUUAUCUCUUCCAUCCGAUUAUUAACUGAUCAUCUCAUUCUUUUGUUUGCAGUGGAAGAAGAAGCGUAUGAGGAGAUUGAAGAGGAAGCGCCGAAAAAUGAGACAGAGAUCCAAGUAGUCUGCCUCCUCGUCGUCGCUCACGGAAUACGGGAUUAGCUUACCGUUCUAGGUGGAGUUUAUCUGUAUUUUGUUGUUUCGCACCGUUGCCAGACUUCGUCGAUCGUUUUGCCAGUAGCGGAUUGUUGUUUUUGUUCGAAUUUUUGAGUGUUUAAGUUGGAGACAGUGGUUUUUGCUACAGCAUGUUUGUUAGUAUGUUGAUGGAUAUUUCAGUAAUGGAGCUGCCUAGCCUUUCGUUUUUAACCGCUUUCUUCAGCAUGCUUGUCCUGUUUCUGCUUCAAUACGUUUUUCUUGUCUCUUGUGAUCUGUUGUUUCUUAUAUUGUCUUGCUUUUGUGAUCACCACCAUUCGUAAUAGAUUACUGUUAUAGGCUACAGAGUUGAUUCUGCUUCCACAUGAGUUUUAGCAUUUCCCUCAGUUCUGUAUAUCAUACGGCUUGCUUGGCUAUUCAUAAUUUCA
rnacentral:lncRNA from 1 species